AAAGUCGUAACAAGGUUUCCGUAGGUGAACCUGCGGAAGGAUCAUUAUUGAUUGAUAAAAAGGGAUGUGCUGGCAAAAAGAGCAACUUUUUGCAUUGUGCACUCCUGAAAUCAUCUUCAUCCACUUGUGCACUUUUGUAGACAUAAAAGUCAAUGAGAUGAAAUGAAAUCAUUUUUUGUUUUGUGGCAAUUUUGUUGCUUUUUUGUCUACGUCUUUUCAUAUACAAUUAUCAGUUAUCGAAUGAGUUGAUUGGCUUAUUGAAAGUCAAAAAAAUUGAUACAACUUUCAACAAUGGAUUUCUUGGUUCUC
rnacentral:misc_RNA from 1 species